AUGGAUUAGGCAUGCAAGUCGAACGGGAGCAGCAAUGCUCCAGUGGCGCAAGGGUGAGGAACACGUGAACAACCUGCCUUCGAGUUGGGGAUAGCUUCUGGAAACGGGAGAUAAUACCGAAUAACAUCACCGGAUCGCAUGGUCUGAUGAUCAAAGCAGCAAUGCGCUUGAAGAGGGGUUCGCGUCCCAUUAGCUAGUUGGCGAGGUAACGGCCCACCAGGGCGAUGAUGGGUAGCUGGUCUGAGAGGACGAUCAGCCACAUUGGGACUGAGAUACUGCCCAGACUCCUACGGGAGGCUGCAGUCGAGAAUUUUGGGCAAUGGACGAAAGUCUGAACCCCCAGCAAUGCCGCGUGCGGGAUGAAGGUCUUCGGAUUGUAAACCGCUGUCAAGAGGGACGAAAUUUGACGGUACCUCUGGAGGAAGCCACGGCUAACUACGUGCCAGCCGCUGC
rnacentral:rRNA from 1 species